UACGUAGGGUGCAGGCGUUAAUCGGAAUUACUGGGCGUAAAGCGUGCGCAGGCGGUCUUUUAAGUCAGAUGUGAAAGCCCCGGGCUUAACCUGGGAACUGCGUUUGAAACUGGGAGACUUGAGUGUGGCAGAGGGGGGUGGAAUUCCACGUGUAGCAGUGAAAUGCGUAGAUAUGUGGAGGAACACCGAUGGCGAAGGCAGCCCCCUGGGUUAACACUGACGCUCAUGCACGAAAGCGUGGGGAGCAAACAGG
rnacentral:rRNA from 1 species